rnacentral:rRNA from 1 species
UCCGUAGGUGAACCUGCGGAAGGAUCAUUAAAGAAAUUUAAUAAUUUUGAAAAUGGAUUUUUUUGUUUUGGCAAGAGCAUGAGAGCUUUUACUGGGCAAGAAGACAAGAGAUGGAGAGUCCAGCCGGGCCUGCGCUUAAGUGCGCGGUCUUGCUAGGCUUGUAAGUUUCUUUCUUGCUAUUCCAAACGGUGAGAGAUUUCUGUGCUUUUGUUAUAGGACAAUUAAAACCGUUUCAAUACAACACACUGUGGAGUUUUCAUAUCUUUGCAACUUUUUCUUUGGGCAUUCGAGCAAUCGGGGCCCAGAGGUAACAAACACAAACAAUUUUAUUUAUUCAUUAAAUUUUUGUCAAAAACAAGAAUUUUCGUAACUGGAAAUUUUAAAAUAUUAAAAACUUUCAACAACGGAUCUCUUGGUUCUCGCAUCGAUGAAGAACGCAGCGAAAUGCGAUACGUAAUGUGAAUUGCAGAAUUCCGUGAAUCAUCGAAUCUUUGAACGCACAUUGCGCCCCUUGGUAUUCCAGGGGGCAUGCCUGUUUGAGCGUCAUUUCCUUCUCAAACAUUCUGUUUGGUAGUGAGUGAUACUCUUUGGAGUUAACUUGAAAUUGCUGGCCUUUUCAUUGGAUGUUUUUUUUUCCAAAGAGAGGUUUCUCUGCGUGCUUGAGGUAUAAUGCAAGUACGGUCGUUUUAGGUUUUACCAACUGCGGCUAAUCUUUUUUAUACUGAGCGUAUUGGAACGUUAUCGAUAAGAAGAGAGCGUCUAGGCGAACAAUGUUCUUAAAGUUUGACCUCAAAUCAGGUAGGAGUACCCGCUGAACUUAAGCAUAUCAAUAAGCGGAGGA